rnacentral:rRNA from 1 species
GACGAACGCUGGCGGCGUGCCUAAUACAUGCAAGUCGAGCGAAUCAAUAGGAGCUUGCUCCUGUUGGUUAGCGGCGGACGGGUGAGUAACACGUGGGCAACCUGCCUGUAAGACUGGGAUAACACCGGGAAACCGGUGCUAAUACCGGAUAAUCCUUUUCCUCUCAUGAGGGGAAGCUGAAAGUCGGUUUCGGCUGACACUUACAGAUGGGCCCGCGGCGCAUUAGCUAGUUGGUGAGGUAACGGCUCACCAAGGCGACGAUGCGUAGCCGACCUGAGAGGGUGAGCGGCCACACUGGGACUGAGACACGGCCCAGACUUCUACGGGAGGCAGCAGUAGGGAAUCUUCCACAAUGGACGAAAGUCUGAUGGAGCAACGCCGCGUGAGCGAUGAGGGCCUUCGGGUCGUAAAGCUCUGUUGUUAGGGAAGAACAAGUAUCGGAGUAACUGCCGGUACCUUGACGGUACCUAACCAGAAAGCCACGGCUAACUACGUGCCAGCAGCCGCAGUAACAC